UCCGUAGGUGAACCUGCGGAAGGAUCAUUGAAUCGAUCGAAUCCACUUUGGUAACCAACCGUCCCCUCGCCCUGGUGCGAGCGUCGGUCCCCUGGCUGGGGUCUUCUGACCGCAGUUCAGGUCCGGCGGGCCUUGCUCCCACGGGUGUCCCUUCGGGGCCCCAUGGGUUGCAGGGUCGGUAAUUUAUAUUCAACUCAACCCACCCCAAACCUAAAUCAUAACUAAAGCUAAUUAGUGUGUGCAUCUCGGUGCCUCACUCUAACCAAAGACAACUCUCAACAACGGAUAUCUUGGCUCCCGUAUCGAUGAAGAACGCAGCGAAAUGCGAUACGUAGUGUGAAUUGCAGAAUUCCGUGAACCAUCGAAUCUUUGAACGCAAAUUGCGCCCGAGGCUUCGGCCGAGGGCAUGUCUGCCUCAGCGUCGGCUUACACCCUCGCUCUCCCUCUCCUUUGGAGUGGAUAGAGCGGAUCUGACCUUCCCGGCUCCUCUUCGAUUCGUCGUUGAGUCCGGGUCGGUUGAAGUGUAGAGGCUUGAGCAUGGACCCCGUUUGUAGGGCAAUGACUUGGUAGGUAGCAUCGCUACACAGCCUGUCGUUGUCCGAGGGGACUUUGCUGGCGGCCUAGCAGGAAUUCUGGGUGGUCCUGCCACCCAGAAUGUCUCACAAAUUCGACCUGAGCUCAGGCAAGACUACCCGCUGAACUUAAGCAUAUCAAUAAGCGGAGGA
rnacentral:rRNA from 1 species